rnacentral:rRNA from 1 species
GGAAUCUUCCACAAUGGACGAAAGUCUGAUGGAGCAACGCCGCGUGAGUGAAGAAGGGUUUCGGCUCGUAAAACUCUGUUGUUAAAGAAGAACACGUAUGAGAGUAACUGUUCAUACGUUGACGGUAUUUAACCAGAAAGUCACGGCUAACUACGUGCCAU